GACUUCGCCGCUGCUGUAGUUCCCCGGCUGGAUGCGGUGACUGGUGCCAGUGCUCAGGCGCCCGCUGCCCUUGACCUCCCGCCCCGCGAGCCCUAACUCAGCGCAGGAGGACCGGCUGCCGCCGCCGCCGCCGCCAGAGCCUUGGCUGCCCAGUUGCCAGUCCUACCACGGUCGGAGGUAACCUUCCUGGCUCCAGUCACAUGGCCAGAUAAGGUGGUGUGUGUGGGCAUGAAUUAUGUGGACCACUGCAAAGAACAGAACGUGCCCGUGCCCAAGGAGCCCAUCAUCUUCAGCAAGUUUGCCAGCUCCAUCGUGGGGCCCUAUGAUGAGGUGGUCCUCCCACCACAGAGCCAGGAGGUAGAUUGGGAAGUGGAGCUGGCCGUGGUCAUUGGAAAGAAAGGCAAGCACAUCAAGGUGAAGUGGAAAAGGUGGGCUCCCAGGCCAGAGUGCAGCAGAGUCCCCAGCUCCUGCCUCUCCUAGUUCUGACCUCGCUCACCAACACAUGGUGCCAGCUGUCCCUGACACUAGGAAGCAGUCAGCCUCCUUGCUCCCUGACACUGCCUUUCCCUUCACCCACCUUUGGCUGGCUCUGGCUACUAACAUGGGAUAACAGCUUUGAGAUCCCUUGCCACAGGUGUUGGUGUCACCCAUGAUCUAUCCUCCUGUAUGGCCAAAUCCCCUGCCCCCAUAGGCCACAGAUGCCAUGGCCCACGUGGCCGGCUUCACUGUGGCUCAUGACGUGAGUGCUCGUGACUGGCUAACAAGAUGCAAUGGGAAACAGUGGCUGCUGGGAAAAACCUUCGACACCUUCUGCCCUCUGGGCCCUGCCUUGGUGACCAAGGACAGUGUAGCAGGUCUCUGAAGGUCCAGACAGCACUGAUGGCGAGCUUUGGGUCCGCACACUCUGGAAAGAAGAGAGAAGUGAAGGCUCUAGGUAGGGAGAACAGAGAGCCACUGGGCACAGGCUUCUCUCCUCUUGUUUAAAGAAGCCCAGGGAGGGAUAGAGCUCUGACUGGACAGAAGACUGUACUCUGCAGCCUGCCUUCCUAGAGUUGGGUUGUCACUGUCCUGCAGGGGGCAGCAGCCACCAGCAAACACCACUGCCUGCAGGAGCCUGGGCUGACUGGUUGGGACUCACCGAAGAUCCCUUCUUCCUGGGCGGUGGCCUGCAGGAACUGGAACAGCUGCUCUGUGUAGCCCAACUCUGCAGAAGAGAGAAGACCUAGACCUGGCACCCAGCACAGACACAGCCUGCCUCGAGGACUGCAAGGGAACAAGGGCCUCACCAGUAUCGGGCAGCUGGCCCUGGCGGAGGAAGGCGGCAGCCUGUGCAAAGGCCUUGAGCAGCGGGCUGAGCAGGCGGCAGAGGAAAAGAAAGAAAUCUGGGCAGUGUGACUGCUGGCUGAGCUGGAGGGGACAGGCCGGGGUGAGUGCAGCUCCCCACCGCCUCCCUACCACCUCCCUCCAGGGGCAGCUUUUUGAAACACACCCUGAAGUACCGGCCGUCAGCCUCUCCGAAGUCAUCACUGUCACUAUCAGUAAAGUCCCCACUCGGUUUCCACAGCA
ensembl:lncRNA novel transcript